rnacentral:lncRNA from 1 species
ACUAGGUUAGCUCUUUGUUGUGUAGGAGUUGUGACCAAGCCACAAACAGAGAGAACUGAAAAAGAACUUUGCCCUUCAGUAUUUUCUUUUUCCUUUCUACAUGGUGACGAAUCAUUAUUCAACCAGAGGGGGACAUCAAGAAUAAUACAAACUUAUAUUAGCACCAUUCUAGUCGCAACCUUUAAGCUUGUGUAUAUAAAUCCCUGCUGCUUCAACUUAUCAAACCAAGCAAACCACCAUGACCAAAAAUAUGUCUCCGGAUGUUGCAGUAGAGCAUGUUUCAGCUGAUUUACUUUCCUUGGCAGGCCUUCUAUGUAUUGAAGACGAGAAUUGCAAGCCCCAGUCGGUCCAUGUAUCCAACCCGCCUCUAAGGAAUAAUGCUGCCAAGAAUUGGAAAGAAGAUCUUGACUUGAGUUUGGUUCGGAGAGGACUUCUGAGUUUGCUUCUGCUACCCCUGGAUCAACUCCUGACGCUUUGAACAAUAAUACCCUAGCAGAUGUGUUAUUCAUCACUGGUCAGCUCUUACCACAAAUGACCCCAUCGGAAACAUGUCAUUCCCAAGUGCUAGAUCACGCCAAUUCCAUAGAAUUGUCGAGUCCACCAUGUAGCAAUAAAAGGAAAUCAAGUGGCAAUGACAAAGAUGCAAAUGAAUCUGCCAAAAACCCAAAUACAGAAGUAAGAAACAAGGCAAGUAAAUUAGCAGCACAGGACAGGAAGCCAGUGGUUCAGACAGAAAUUUAUGCAGCCAAGUAACAAACAAAUAAGCAUGGCAACACUACAAAGCCAGUGGUUUGAACAAAAAUUAACCACUAAGUUGCACCCCCCCGCCCCCCUGCAGAUACUGUUGUGCCAUUUAACCAUCUCCAUCCAUGAAAGAGCAGGCACUUUGAAAAUGGAAUAUGAGGUUACAGUAACAACAGGCUCCAUUACAAAUAGUUUAUUGUUUACUCCCUCCGUCCCAAAUUAAUUGCUCAGUUUUGACUUUUUAAAGUCAAAUUGACCAUUUUUAAAACUAAUCUUUUUACUAUUUUUUCUAAANNNNNNNNNNNNNNNNNNNNNNNNNNNNNNNNNNNNNNNNNNNNNNNNNNNNNNNNNNNNNNNNNNNNNNNNNNNNNNNNNNNNNNNNNNNNNNNNNNNNUUUGCCUGAGAGAUGUUGGGUUUGGUAUUCAUGGACUGAAUACACCAAAAUAACCUUUAGCUUGAGUUUCCAUCUUAGAUAGUUUAUCAAUUAAGCAGUAAUAAUUAGAAAUCUAUAUGACCACUCUGCUCUGUGUUACUGAAUUUUGUCCGUCUUCUUCAACUAUCAAGUUGAGUUACUCCCAUUUUAGUCCCAACUGCACUUAGAGAUAUAGCUAUCCUUUGUGGUGUCAUUUGAUCAUGAACCUUAUUUAAUGGGACCUAAAUAUGAAUUCAAUUACAUACAGACAAGACUGCUGAUUCAAUAAGACAAGACUGCUGAUACAGGAAGACGAGUCUUGCUUAAGGAAGAAUAACAAUCUGUUAAAGUAUGGAGCAUACUAACUUCAGUGCCGUUGGAUUAGCAUAAUCCCUAUAAUGCAGAGUUGGCGAAUUAAAUAUUUUCAUUCAGUAUUGUAUUUAUACUCUUUUUGACCCAUAAAAGAUGACUAAUUUUUUUGUGUCCUACAAAAAUUGUCUAAAGUAGACGACUCAAAUUCAAAAUAUUGUAUAGUCUAAUUUACCCUAAAAAAGUACUUGAGUAGAAUCACUACUUAGAAAGAAGAAAAAAUCUUUAGUAUACUUAUGUGGGAUCCAUUGUAGAUAACAUGGAAAAUUAUUUACACUCUCCAUCCCAUAAAAAAAGAUACUGAAGUAUAAUUUAUUUAUUUUUGUCCUACUAAAAAUGUCUAAAGUAGACAACUCAAAUUCAAAAAAAUUUCUAUUUUACCCUCAAACACUACUCAAGUAGGAUCCACUAGUUUUAGAAAGAAAAAAGAAUCUUUAGUGUACUUAUGUGGGAUCCAUUGUAGAUAACAUGAGAACUGGGGGAUUAUAGAUAACAUGGGAACUGGGGUCCAUUGUGGAUAUCAUGGGAACUUAUUUAUACUCUAUCCUCUACUUUCAUUUUUCUUAAUUUGAAUGAAAAAUGUAUUUACAUCUUCUGAACUGAGCCAGCAGCCAGGAGCCAACAGUCAGCUUC